rnacentral:rRNA from 1 species
GCCACCGAAUACAUUAGCAUGGGAUAAUGGAAUAGGACCCUGUCCUCCUAUUUUCAGUUGGUUUUGGCAGCGCGAGGACUAGGGUAAUGAUUAAUAGGGAUAGUUGGGGGCAUUAAUAUUUAAUUGUCAGAGGUGAAAUUCUUGGAUUUAUGAAAGAUUAACUUCUGCGAAAGCAUCUGCCAAGGAUGUUUUCAUUAAUCAAGAACGAAAGUUAGGGGAUCGAAGACGAUCAGAUACCGUCGUAGUCUUAACCAUAAACGAUGCCGACCAGCGAUUAGGAGACGUUGAAUACAAAACACCACCAUCGGCGCGGUCGCCCUUGGCGUUCGUGUUCACGCACGGGCGCGAGGGCGGCUUAG